GUCACUCUGUGCUUCACAGUGUGGCAGAACCUAGAGUGUCCAUUAGCAGGCGAAAAUUCUGGGAGGAAUCAACAUGUGGAAAGGACAAAAACCCUGUCUGAAUUCUCUCACAUUGCCCUUCUCGCCUUGGCAGGCUACAGAAUAACGUCCACGUUUCGCUCCAGAUCAUCCCCUCCUCCCAGGGGGAAGGAAAUGGCUGCAAUGGAGCUGGCUCAGGGGCUGGUGACCUUCGAGGAGGUAGCUGUAUAUUUCACCAAGGAGGAAUGGACUCUGCUGGACCCCACUCAGAGAGCCCUCCACAGGGAUGUCAUGCAGGAGAACUAUGAGACGGUGACCUCACUGGUAGGGUUUCCAGUUUCCAAACCUGAUGUGAUCUCGCAGCUGGAACGAGGGGAAGAG